rnacentral:rRNA from 1 species
CCCUACGGGAGGCAGCAGUGAGGAAUAUUGGUCAAUGGUCGGGAGACUGAACCAGCCAAGCCGCGUGAGGGAUGAAGGCACAGAGUAUCGUAAACCUCUUUUGUCAGGGAACAAAGGCGGGGACGUGUCCCCGGAUGAGUGUACCUGAAGAAAAAGCAUCGGCUAACUCCGUGCCAGCAGCCGCGGUAAUACGGAGGAUGCGAGCGUUGUCCGGAUUUAUUGGGUUUAAAGGGUGCGCAGGCGGUCUGUUAAGUCAGCGGUCAAAGCCCGGGGCUCAACCCCGGCCCGCCGUUGGAACUGGCAGU